rnacentral:rRNA from 1 species
UGGGGAAUAUUGGACAAUGGGCGCAAGCCUGAUCCAGCCAUGCCGCGUGAGUGAUGAAGGCCUUCGGGUUGUAAAGCUCUUUUGUCCGGGAAGAUAAUGACUGUACCGGAAGAAUAAGCCCCGGCAAACUUCGUGCCAGCAGCCGCGGUAAUACGAAGGGGGCUAGCGUUGUUCGGAUUUACUGGGCGUAAAGCGCACGUAGGCGGCUUGUUAAGUCAGAGGUGAAAGCCUGGAGCUCAACUCCAGAACUGCCUUUGAUACUGGCAAGCUCGAGUAUAGGAGAGGUUGGUGGAACUGCGAGUGUAGAGGUGAAAUUCGUAGAUAUUCGCAAGAACACCAGUGGCGAAGGCGGCCAACUGGCCUAUAACUGACGCUGAGGUGCGAAAGCGUGGGGAGCAAA